rnacentral:snRNA from 1 species
AUCGCUUCUCGGCCUUUUGGCUAAGAUCAAGUGUAGUAUCUGUUCUUAUCAGUUUAAUAUCUGAUACGUCCUCUAUCCGAGGACAAAAAUAUUAAGUGGAUUUUUGGAGCAGGGAGAUGGAAUAGGAGCUUGCUCCGUCCACUCCGCGCAUCGACCUGGUAUUGCAGUACCUCCAGGAACGGUGCACCUUCU